AACGAACGCUGGCGGCAGGCUUAACACAUGCAAGUCGCAGGAGAAGCAUGACUUCGGUUAUGUGGACACUGGCGGACGGGUGAGUAACGCGUGGGAACCUACCUCGGGGUGGGGGACAACCGCGUGGAAACGGCGGCUAAUACCGCAUACGCCCUCAGGGGGAAAACUCUGGUGCCCUGAGAUGGUCCCGCGUCGGAUUAGCUUGUUGGUGGGGUAAUGGCCUACCAAGGCGACGAUCCGUAGCUGGUCUGAGAGGAUGAUCAGCCACACUGGAACUGAGACACGGUCCAGACUCCUACGGGAGGCAGCAGUGGGGAAUAUUGGACAAUGGGGGCAACCCUGAUCCAGCCAUGCCGCGUGGGUGAAGAAGGCCUUAGGGUUGUAAAACCCUUUCAGCGGGAAGAUGAUGACGGUACCCGCAGAGAAGCCCGGCUAAC
rnacentral:rRNA from 1 species